rnacentral:rRNA from 1 species
AGUGAACGCUGGCGGUAGGCCCAACACAUGCAAGUCGAACGGCAGCACAGUAAGAGCUUGCUCUUACGGGUGGCGAGUGGCGGACGGGUGAGGAAUACAUCGGAAUCUACUUUUUCGUGGGGGAUAACGUAGGGAAACUUACGCUAAUACCGCAUACGACCUACGGGUGAAAGCAGGGGAUCUUCGGGCCUUGCGCGAUUGAAUGAGCCGAUGUCGGAUUAGCUAGUUGGCGGGGUAAAGGCCCACCAAGGCGACGAUCCGUAGCUGGUCUGAGAGGAUGAUCAGCCACACUGGAACUGAGACACGGUCCAGACUCCUACGGGAGGCAGCAGUGGGGAAUAUUGGACAAUGGGCGCAAGCCUGAUCCAGCCAUACCGCGUGGGUGAAGAAGGCCUUCGGGUUGUAAAGCCCUUUUGUUGGGAAAGAAAAGCAGCAGGUUAAUACCCCGCUGUUCUGACGGUACCCAAAGAAUAAGCACCGGCUAACUUCGUG